GACGAACGCUGGCGGCGUGCCUAAUACAUGCAAGUCGAGCGCAGGAAGCUGACGGAACUCUUCGGAGGGAAGGCAGUGGAAUGAGCGGCGGACGGGUGAGUAACACGUAAGGAACCUGCCUCAAGGAUUGGGAUAACUCCGAGAAAUCGGAGCUAAUACCGGAUAGUUCAUCGGACCGCAUGGUCCGUUGAUGAAAGGCGCUUCGGCGUCACCUUGAGAUGGCCUUGCGGUGCAUUAGCUAGUUGGUGGGGUAACGGCCGACCAAGGCGACGACGCAUAGCCGACCUGAGAGGGUGAUCGGCCACACUGGGACUGAGACACGGCCCAGACUCCUACGGGAGGCAGCAGUAGGGAAUCUUCCACAAUGGACGAAAGUCUGAUGGAGCAACGCCGCGUGAGUGAUGAAGGUUUUCGGAUCGUAAAACUCUGUUGUAAGGGAAGAACACGUACGAGAGGGAAUGCUCGUACCUUGACGGUACCUUACGAGAAAGCCACGGCUAACUACGUGCCAGCCGCCGCAGUAA
rnacentral:rRNA from 1 species